GUGUGUGUGUGUGUGUACUCUGUCUACUCUGAGUACUCUGAGUGGACAGAGCUCAGAGCUCCCUGUCCAUGCUCCAAUAAGCUGAUCAUAAUUUAUCACUGAGUGAGGUCAUGGAUCAGCCGCCUAUUCGAGGUUAGUCUGGGGGGAGUUUGAACUGGGAGGGGAACUGGUCCACCAGGAAGAAGACUAAGAUACUGUAGUCCACUCUUAUCUGUGAUAGAUCAUGAAUAUGAAUAACUUUGAAUCCUAUCAGUAGGAUGAUCAUUUUUAAGAUUCCUGCUCUACAAGAUGCUACGUGUUAGACUGUGGGCAUUGGGGAUCGAACCCAGAACCUUCCAGCCUGCAGUCAGGUGUCAUGUUGACGUUAAUAAUGACUUUUUCUUCUUGUGCCUUCUUGCGUCCUUGGGCGACUCAAAGGUAUUUUGGACAGAAUGAACUGUUGUUAUAUUUGCAGUCCGGUUUUAUGAUUACAUUAUUUAGACAGGAAUCUUGGUUAUUGAAGACGUUUAAAAGUCAUCUUGUACUGGGUCUUGUACUCUGUGGGCCUGCAUCACAGAUCUGGUUGUGAUGUCAUACCACACGAGGAAGUCCAUAUAUAGUCCUGCCCUCCUUGAGAAUGAGAGGGUCUAUGAAUCUGCGUCUUGGAGAGACCACCCUGCCUCUGGUCCAAAGUUAACAGAGACAAUGCCCUCCUGUGAGCGGAAUACACAGCUCAUAUAAAAGCCGUGUCUGGGAGGAGUAUGAACUGGGAGGGGAAGUGGUCCAACUGGUUGGAAAUAAUUUCCUUGGUAUGAGUCAGACGGUUUGGUGUGGCUCACUUCAUCACAGCAGGAAGACGACUAAGGUACUGUAGUCCACUCUGAUCCAUGAUAGAUCAUCAAUAUGAAUAACUUUGAGUCCUAUCAAUAGGUUGAUAGUUAGUUUCCUGUAAAACCACAUGGUUAAAAACGUUAGUCAAUGUAUGGAUGCAUUGCGAUUUGUCAACAUUUCUAUUGAAUAAUUUAGAAGAUUCCUGCUCUGUAGAAUGCUACGUGUUAGACUGUGGGCUUUGGGGAUCGAACCCAGAAACUUCCAGCCUUGAGUUAAGCGACAGGUUGAGGUUAAUAAUGACUGCUUCGUCUGAUUCAGUAUUGGUUCUUAAUCACAGGUCCUGUGGUGACUUUAAAGGUACUGAGGAUAGUUGUUAUAUUUGUAGUGCGGUAUUAUGAUUACAUUAUUUUGACAGGAAGACGGCCAUCUUGGUUAGUGAAGGUGUUUAAACGUCAUCUUGUACUGGGUCUUGUUCUCUGUGGGCCUGCAUCAUUCUGCAGUAGUGAAGGCCUACUCUAUAUCUGAGAGCAUCACUCGUAUGAGAGGGACAUGACCUUCAAGGUGAAUUAACCCUGCUGCGACCGCCUCGACACAGAAGUCACUGGUGACGACUGGCUCGUGUUCUUCAGCUCAGCCAAUCCCACUGACAUCCUCUCACCAGCAGGUGGUGCUGCAGUGCACCUUUUCGAGGGUUUCAAAACGGACCGAGCAGAAUGAUCCACUUUACUACCGCUGGAGUUGAAUGAAUCACAGACUGCAGAAGAGUAGACCGUUUGUGACCUUUUUUCUUUUGUGCGUGUGUGUGUGAACUCUGAGUACUCUGUGCACUCUGAGUACUCUGUCCACUCUGAGUACUCUGUCCGCUCUGAGUACUCUGUCCACUAAGAGUAUUCUGUCCACUCUGAGUACUCUGUGAGCUCUGAGCUCUGUACUCAGAGUGUACAGAGCUCAGAGCUCUCUGUCCAUUCUUCAUAUUUAAAACAGUGAUUACUAUUCAUGACUGAGUGAGGUCAUGGAUCAGCCGCCUAUGAGAGGUUAGUCUGGGAGGAGUCUGAACUGGGAGGGGAACUGGUCCAACUGGUUGGUUCACCAUUUCCUUGUUAUGAGUCGGAUGGUUUGGUGUGGCUCACUUUAUCACUGUAGGAAGAAGACUACGAUACUGUAGUCCACUCUUAUCUAUGAUAGAUCAUAAAUAUGAAUAACUUUGAGUCUUAUCAGUAGGUUGAACAUUUUUAAGAUUCCUGCUCUGUAGAAUGAUGGAUGUUAGACUGUGGGCAUUGGGGAUCGAACCCUGAACCUUCCAGCCUGGAGUCAAGUAUCAGGUUGACGUUAAUAAUGACUUUUUCUUCUUUUGUCGACUUGUGUCCUUUUGUGACUUUAAAGGUACUUAGGACAGAAUGUACAGCUUUUAUAUUUGUAGUGCAGUAUUAUGAUAACAUUAUUUAGACAGGAAGACGGCCAUCUUGCUUUGUGAAGGUGUUUAAAAGUCUUCUCUUACUGGGUCUUGUUCUCUGUGGGACUGCAACACCGAUCUGGUUGUGAUGUCAUACCACAUGAGGAAGUCCAUGUAUGGUCCUGCCUUCAGAGCGGUUUAACCAGCACAGAGAGCAGUUGGUAGGAUAUCCGCCCAGUGAACUUGAUCUUAUCCAGGCCCGCCGCUCCCUAUAAGCAGAGUAUGCAGAGUGCGUAGGGCACCAAGUCCCUGAGGGGGACCAAAAAUGAAGGCUUGUAAAAAAAAAAAUAUAUAUAUAUAUAUAUUAUUUAAUUAAAAAAAUAUGUAAAUUAGUUA